AACUCACAAACCCUGAGAUCAUGACCUGAGCCGGUUGGACGCUUAACUGACUGAGCCACCCAGGCACCCCAUUUUUCUUCCUUUUCAAUGAUAAAGGUAAUUCUUAUAUCGGGACCUGCAAAAUCGAGGCUUCCCCAGUGGCAUGGCCCACCACACAAAUAGAAACCUAAGUGUGUAGCACUUAAGGGAAAGGUGUCACUGUCACAGAAACCUAGCAUAUGCCAGUCACAAUCACCCAACUCAGCUCUGCCUUACCUUAGCCUAGAAAAUAGGAACUUUGAGCUUUAUAAGGAAGUCCCCACCCUCUUGGCCAUUGAUUCUCUGAGUUGCCGUUUCUUAUGCUCUAAAAAAUCUGCUCUUGCCCCAACUGCUUCAGGAAGAGUGCUUUUUUACUGCUUGAGAAGCGCUGUCCUCCCCCAAUGCAUGGGUCGUUUCCCCGUGAAUAAAGGACAUCAAAGUCAUUGCACGGUUUUAUUUUUGUCAUUUGACAUUGGGAAAAUCACUUAACCUCUCUGAAUUUCAAUUUCAUCCUCUAUAGCAUGGGCAUGAGAAUUCUUUUGUCCACAAACUCUCAGGGUAUUGUCAACAUUCAGUAAGACACUACCUGGAGGGCCUGACACAUUGUGAAUGCUCAAUAAAUGGUUACAUGGUAUGAACUCAUUUCUACUGUAAGUUCCUAAAGCUUGAGUUAUAAAUAAAAUGUGACAAAAUAUGCAUGCAUUUUCACAUGUGAGUGUUUUCACUUGAAGCAACCGAAACAAUUCUAGGGAGUUCAUGACCUCGGUCUCUUUAUUUAUUGUAUAUGAAGAGGCAUGUGGCAGGGGUCCUUCACAUAACUCCAUCCCACCGCUGUCCCCAUAAGUGGUUACAGAUCUUAAGUGGGUGGCACUGGGGUUCACUGCGAAAUACCAAGAUCAUUCCAUCAAACCUUGUGAAGUUUCUGUUGUCAACAAAUGUCAGCUUUGGGAUUUUCCUUCUAAAAGCUAAUUCUCGUUUUCCUGGGAAUUUUCACUAGCUUGUUUGAGAUCCAGUAGAAGCAAGGAAACCACUUGCUUAGGAAGAGAUAAACUAUCUUAAGUGCAUACACCUUUGCAAAACUCUGCCAUUGUGCUCAGCUCAGCACUUUUUUUUCAGGGUUUGAGGGGCCAAUCUACCUAGUCAAAUGCUAUACAAAAGACCUUUUUUCUGGAAUCCACUUCCAGCAAGGGAUUAGCACCAGUUCUGAGAUUCCAUCUGUCUUGUUUACAUUCCUUGUGCGAUUUCAGGACAUCGUGUUCCCUUUCUUGUAAUUGCACAACAAAAGCACUGCCACAGGGCCCUGGAAUGUCUUUCCGCUCCAUGUCAGGAUUUCCUUCUGGCUGGCAUUCUUUGCAGACAGCUCUGGGACCUCCAGGUGGGCUGGUUCAGAGAAGAGAACUUGGGCUUUAGAGACAGACGGACAAACCUCCAGUUCUGCUGCUGCCAUUCGUGACAUAUUCACUGAACCUUCCUUCUGUAAAAUGGAGACAGUAACAUUUUAGCCUUUGUAGGAUCCUUGUGGAGAUUGAAUAAGACCAUGUGUGUAAAUCAUCCAGCACAGGGCCUGGCAAUCUUAGGUACUGCGAUAAGUGAAGUCAUUAUUUUAAUUCUGGUGCCAAGGGACCUUGCAGCAUUCAUUUCUUUCUUGUGCCCAGCAUCAAAAUGCUCUACCUUUGCCUGACUUCUCCAAAGAAACACACACACCUGUCCCACUGGAGAAGGUGUUAAGUGAUACAGAUUCUUGGCUUCGCUAUCUUUUAAAAUAUUCUGUGGCUGGGCAAAAAGGCUCUCUUGGUGACCCACUGGUCACUGUUUAAAUCAGUGCUGCUUUUGUGACAUCGCUGGAGACAGAGGAGGGACACCUGACUGUUGACUGGGAAGCAGACACGUGAAGGGCCUUGUAAUGAUGUCCACCUGAACACGAUGAUCCAGAACAGCUGUGGUGUCUCGGCAGCUCGCCCUUUGCAAGGUUGGAAAGGAGUGGGUGUGGCCACAGGUCCUACGCUCUCCUUGUGCACGGUUAUGGGCCAGGAACGCUCACUUGGCAAUGAAUACAUUGUCACCGAACUUGCCGUUCGUGGGGGCUACUCUGUCAAGGUGAAGGCCCCAGGCAGGCCCCCGAGCAGUCUGAGAAGCCUUAUGUGGGGUUCCCCAAAGGAAUUUCACGGCGCACUCCACAGCCAGAAGUAAGCAUCUUCUUACUUAGCAAAACAAAAGUUGAUGGACACAGACGGAGAGUCCCACACUGGUGUAUCCGUGGUACAAAGAUGUGAGAUUGGGAACAAAGAAAGAAGCAGACCACAAUGGGUGGCAGCACGUACCGAUAUUAAAAGGACCAGCAAAUAGUGCAAAAGUGA